rnacentral:rRNA from 1 species
UGGGGAAUUUUGGACAAUGGGGGCAACCCUGAUCCAGCCAUUCCGCGUGAGUGAAGAAGGCCUUCGGGUUGUAAAGCUCUUUCGCAAGGGAAGAAAACUUAUGAUCGAAUAAAUCAUGAGGUUGACGGUACCUUGAUAAGAAGCACCGGCUAACUACGUGCCAGCAGCCGCGGUAAUACGUAGGGUGCGAGCGUUAAUCGGAAUUACUGGGCGUAAAGCGUGCGCAGGCGGUUUUGUAAGUCGGAUGUGAAAUCCCCGGGCUCAACCUGGGAACUGCGUUCGAAACUGCAAGGCUAGAGUGUGUCAGAGGGGGGUAGAAUUCCACGUGUAGCAGUGAAAUGCGUAGAGAUGUGGAGGAAUACCAAUGGCGAAGGCAGCCCCCUGGGAUAACACUGACGCUCAUGCACGAAAGCGUGGGGAGCAAACAGGAUUAGA